GUGUCAGUAGCCGCGGUAAUACGUAGGGGGCAAGCGUUGUCCGGAAUUAUUGGGCGUAAAGGGCGCGUAGGCGGAUAUUUAAGUCUGGUGUGAAAGGCGAGGGCUCAACCCUCGUUGGGCAUCGGAAACUGGGUAUCUUGAGGCCCGGAGAGGAGAGUGGAAUUCCACGUGUAGCGGUGAAAUGCGUAGGGAUGUGGAGGGAAACCAGUGGCGAAGGCGACUUUCGGG
rnacentral:rRNA from 1 species